rnacentral:rRNA from 1 species
UACGGAGGGUGCGAGCGUUGUUCGGAAUUAUUGGGCGUAAAGCGCGUGUAGGCGGUUUUAUAAGUCUGAUGUGAAAGCCCCGGGCUCAACCUGGGAAGUGCAUUGGAUACUGUAAGACUUGAGUACGGGAGAGGGCAGUGGAAUUCCUAGUGUAGGAGUGAAAUCCGUAGAUAUUAGGAGGAACACCGGUGGCGAAGGCGGCUGCCUGGACCGAUACUGACGCUGAGACGCGAAAGCGUGGGGAGCAAACAGG